rnacentral:rRNA from 1 species
GACAGAGGAUGCAAGCGUUAUCCGGAAUGAUUGGGCGUAAAGCGUCUGUAGGUGGCUUUUUAAGUCUGCCGUCAAAUCCCAGGGCUUAACCCUGGACAGGCGGUGGAAACUACCAAGCUGGAGUACGGUAGGGGCAGGGGGAAUUUCCGGUGGAGCGGUGAAAUGCGUAGAGAUCGGGAAGAACACCAACGGCGAAAGCACUCUGCUGGGCCGACACCGACACUGAGAGACGAAAGCUAGGGGAGCGAAUGGG